rnacentral:rRNA from 1 species
AGAGUUUGAUCCUGGCUCAGGACGAACGCUGGCGGCGUGCUUAACACAUGCAAGUCGAACGAGGUCCAAUCAUUCGCAAGAAUGAGGAAGACCUAGUGGCGAACGGGUGCGUAACACGUGAGGAACCUAUCCCAGUCUCUGGAAUAACAGGUGGAAACACCUGCUAAUACCGGAUGCCGUUGGACCAUCGCAUGGUGGACCAACGAAAGAUUUAUCGGAUUGGGAGGGCCUCGCGGCCUAUCAGCUUGUUGGUGAGGUAACGGCUCACCAAGGCGUCGACGGGUAGCUGGUCUGAGAGGAUGAUCAGCCACACUGGGACUGAGACACGGCCCAGACUCCUACGGGAGGCAGCAGUGGGGAAUCUUGCACAAUGGGCGAAAGCCUGAUGCAGCAACGCCGCGUGCGGGAAGAACGCCUUAGGGUUGUAAACCGCUUUCAGCACGGAAGAGAAUGACGGUACCUGUAGAAGAACGUGCGGCCAACUACGUGCCAGCAGCCGCGGUGACACGUAGGCACCAAGCGUUGUACGGAUUUAUUGGGCGUAAGAGCUCGUAGGCGGUUCGGUAAGACGGGUGUGAGAACUCUGGGCUCACCCAGAGACGCAACCCCGAUACUGCUGUGACUAGAGUGCGGUAGGGGAGCUGGGACUUCCUGGUGUACCGGUGAAUGCGCAAAUAUCCGAGGAACACACUGCGANGCCCGCUCUGGCNUACUGACCUAUACGAACGUGGACAAAGGAUGAUACUGUAUCAUGGCAAUCGCCCUGCGCCUCUAUGAUCACUCGUCAGCUGCUAUUUGUCU